ACGGCUCAGUAACACGUGGAUAACCUGCCCUUUGGACCGGCAUAACCCCGGGAAACUGGGGAUAAUUCCGGAUAACGCAUAUGUGCUGGAAUGCUUUAUGCGUCAAAUGGAUUCGUCCGCCCAAGGAUGGGUCUGCGGCCUAUCAGGUAGUAGUGGGUGUAAUGUACCUACUAGCCGACAACGGGUACGGGUUGUGAGAGCAAGAGCCCGGAGAUGGAUUCUGAGACAUGAAUCCAGGCCCUACGGGGCGCAGCAGGCGCGAAAACUUUACAAUGCGGGAAACCGUGAUAAGGGGACACCGAGUGUCAGCAUCAUAUGCUGGCUGUCCAGGUGUGUAAAAUACACCUGUUAGCAAGGGCCGGGCAAGACCGGUGCCAGCCGCCGCGGUAACACCGGCGGCCCGAGUGGUGAUCGUGAUUAUUGGGUCUAAAGGGUCCGUAGCCGGUUUGGUCAGUCCUCCGGGAAAUCUGAUAGCUCAACUAUUAGGCUAUCGGGGGAUACUACCAGACUUGGAACCGGGAGAGGUAAGAGGUACUACAGGGGUAGGAGUGAAA
rnacentral:rRNA from 1 species